UGGAAGUGAUUAAGGAAGUGGGGUUGGAGGAAUUGGAAGUGGGGUGAGGUUGAAAUGAGCUAUUGGUAGCUUUACAAGUGAGGGUUGAAGAAGAAGAGGAGUUAAAGAUGAGAUUUUGGGUGAAGGGGAAUGGUGAAGUUGAGGAAGGGGGGGUGGGGGGUAGUAGAGUUGUCAUGAAUUCUUGAACAUUUGGGGAAGAAGAGAAAGGGGAGGGAGAAGUAGUUUCAAAUUGAGGAAAUGGUGAUAAGGUGUGUUCAGG
rnacentral:misc_RNA from 1 species